rnacentral:rRNA from 1 species
AGCAGCCGCGGUAAUUCCAGCUCCAAUAGCGUAUAUUAAAGUUGUUGCAGUUAAAAAGCUCGUAGUUGAAUUUCGGGGUUAGUAGGUUGGUCAUGCCUCUGGUAUGUACUGGUCUCACUGAUUCCUCCUUCCUUAUGAACCGUAAUGCCAUUAAUUUGGUGUUGCGAGGAAUUUGGACUGUUACUUUGAAAAAAUUAGAGUGUUUAAAGCAAGCUAACGCUUGAAUACAUUAGCAUGGAAUAAUGAAAUAGGACGUUCGAUCUUAUUUUGUUGGUUUCUAGGAUUGACGUAAUGAUUAAUAGGGAUAGUUGGGGGCAUUAGUAUUCAAUUGUCAGAGGUGAAAUUCUUGGAUUUAUUGAAGACUAACUACUGCGAAAGCAUUUGCCAAGGAUGUUUUCAUUAAUCAAGAACGAAAGUUAGGGGAUCGAAGACGAUCAGAUACCGUCGCAGUCUUAACCAUAAACUAUGCCGACUAGGGAUCGGAUGAUGUUAAUUUUUAAUGACUCAUUCGGCGCCUUAA